rnacentral:lncRNA from 1 species
CGAGUGGAGGAAUCCUAGGGUGUGCCUGGAGGUGGCGGAGUGUACCGACGCGGGUGUGAGCGCGUGUGCCAGCGAGGGUGGGCACGGGGGUGAGCGUGGCAAGGGCAGCAGCACCUGCUUGAGACCAAGCCCGGCGACCUGGCAAGGUGGGGCCCCCUACCGCGCAAUCUUUGCGGCUGGCCCCCGGCUCUCAGCUCCGAGUGCAGAGGCUGAAGAGGUACCCGGGGGACACACUGCCUCUAACCCCACGUAUGAGCCGCUCUCCUCUCGGAGGGCGAAGGCACCAUCGGAAGGUCGAGAUUCGCCCUCCUCUCCCGCCACGUCUACCCACCACCCAGACCGGGAGUCUGGACUUGGGAGCGUGAACUCUCACCCGAGCCGGUCCCCUUACAACUGGAGCCCGCCCAGCCCCUCAGUCCCUCCCUGAAGCCCAUGGGUCCCCACUGCUCCGUGCCUCGUCUACCCAGGAUGGGGAGUGGGAAGGUCAGCAUGUGCCCACAGGGCCAGGUGUCCGGCCCAGAUUCCCACCCUCAGGGCGGCGGCGCGCAAAGGGCGCAGUCCCCGCCGCUGGGCGGACCCGCGGCUCCGGCUUUCCCGGUGUCUCCAGCCUCGGUGCCCGGAAUCCUGGAUCUCGGCCUGGCGCUCCGGAAGCGAGGCAGCUCCGUGCCCCAGCAGGGACGGGGAACGCUUGGCUUGAGAGAUCACAUUU